rnacentral:rRNA from 1 species
UACGUAGGGUGCGAGCGUUGUCCGGAAUUACUGGGCGUAAAGAGCUCGUAGGUGGUUUGUCGCGUUGUUCGUGAAAACCGGGGGCUUAACCCUCGGCGUGCGGGCGAUACGGGCAGACUUGAGUACUGCAGGGGAGACUGGAAUUCCUGGUGUAGCGGUGGAAUGCGCAGAUAUCAGGAGGAACACCGGUGGCGAAGGCGGCCAUCUGGCCCACAUUUGACGCUGAGGCGCGAAAGCGUGGGGAGCAAACAGG